rnacentral:rRNA from 1 species
UGCAAGUCGAGCGGUACAUUUCAAAGCUUGCUUUUGAAGAUGACGAGCGGCGGACGGGUGAGUAAUGCCUAGGAAAUUGCCCUGAUGUGGGGGAUAACCAUUGGAAACGAUGGCUAAUACCGCAUGAUGCCUACGGGCCAAAGAGGGGGACCUUCGGGCCUCUCGCGUCAGGAUAUGCCUAGGUGGGAUUAGCUAGUUGGUGAGGUAAUGGCUCACCAAGGCGACGAUCCCUAGCUGGUCUGAGAGGAUGAUCAGCCACACUGGAACUGAGACACGGUCCAGACUCCUACGGGAGGCAGCAGUGGGGAAUAUUGCACAAUGGGCGCAAGCCUGAUGCAGCCAUGCCGCGUGUAUGAAGAAGGCCUUCGGGUUGUAAAGUACUUUCAGUCGUGAGGAAGGUGGUGUUGUUAAUAGCAGCAUCAUUUGACGUUAGCGACAGAAGAAGCACCGGCUAACUCCGUGCCAGCAGCCGCGGUAAUACGGAGGGUGCGAGCGUUAAUCGGAAUUACUGGGCGUAAAGCGCAUGCAGGUGGUUCGUUAAGUCAGAUGUGAAAGCCCGGGGCUCAACCUCGGAACUGCAUUUGAAACUGGCGGACUAGAGUACUGUAGAGGGGGGUAGAAUUUCAGGUGUAGCGGUGAAAUGCGUAGAGAUCUGAAGGAAUACCGGUGGCGAAGGCGGCCCCCUGGACAGAUACUGACACUCAGAUGCGAAAGCGUGGGGAG